rnacentral:snoRNA from 1 species
CUCCAUCGCUAAGUCAAGGCUCCUUUCUGCGUUCUCUCGCAACUAUUCUUCAAUGAAAGGAGCCUGUUACAGCUUUGGUACAUCGAGCCGCGCUCGCCACUCUCACGGGUGGUUUCCGACAAAUGCAUCCGUCUUGGAAGCAUAUCCGUCACAGAGCGCACGGCGUGUUUCGUUUGAGUUGAGGUUUGCUUUCUUUAUCUAUAGCACGUCUCUUAGUAAUGUCUCACACAACG